GAUGAACGCUGACAGAAUGCUUAACACAUGCAAGUCGAUGGGGAAGUGGUGCUUGCACCAUGGUAACCAUGGCGGACGGGUGAGUAACGCGUAGGGAACUUGCCUGCGGGACUGGGAUAACAGCAGGAGACUGCUGAUAAUACCGGAUAAGGUCAUUAAGCUGCAUAGCUUAGUGAUGAAAGGAGACGCCUGCGGAGAGCCUUGCGUCCUAUUAGCUAGUUGGAGGGGUAACGGCCCACCAAGGCGAAGAUAGGUAGCCGGCCUGAGAGGGUGGACGGCCACAAGGGGACUGAGAUACGGCCCUUACUCCUACGGGAGGCAGCAGUGGGGAAUAUUGGACAAUGGGGGCAACCCUGAUCCAGCAAUUCUGUGUGCACGAAGACGGUUUUCGGAUUGUAAAGUGCUUUCAGCAGGGAAGAAGUAAGUGACGGUACCUGCAGAAGAAGCGACGGCUAAAUACGUGCCAGCAGCCGCGGUAAUACGUAUGUCGCGAGCGUUAUCCGGAAUUAUUGGGCAUAAAGGGCAUCUAGGCGGCCUUCCAAGUCAGGGGUGAAAACCUGCGGCUCAACCGCAGGCCUGCCUUUGAAACUGAUAGGCUGGAGUACCGGAGAGGUGGACGGAACUGCACGAGUAGAGGUGAAAUUCGUAGAUAUGUGCAGGAAUGCCGAUGAUGAAGAUAGUUCACUGGACGGUAACUGACGCUGAAGUGCGAAAGCCGGGGGAGCGAACAGG
rnacentral:rRNA from 1 species